rnacentral:rRNA from 1 species
UGGGGAAUAUUGCACAAUGGAGGGAACUCUGAUGCAGCGACGCCGCGUGAACGAAGAAGGCUUUCGAGUCGUAAAGUUCUUUUAUAUGGGAAGAUAAUGACGGUACCAUAAGAAAAAGCCCCGGCUAACUACGUGCCAGCAGCCGCGGUAAUACGUAGGGGGCUAGCGUUGUCCGGAAUCACUGGGCGUAAAGGGUUCGCAGGCGGAAAUGCAAGUCAGGUGUAAAAGGCAGUAGCUUAACUACUGUAAGCAUUUGAAACUGCAUAUCUUGAGAAGAGUAGAGGUAAGUUGAAUUUUUAGUGUAGCGGUGAAAUGCGUAGAUAUUAAAAAGAAUACCGGUGGCGAAGGCGGCUUACUGGGCUCAUUCUGACGCUGAGGAACGAAAGCGUGGGUAGCAAACAGG